AACACAUGCAAGUCGAACGGUAACAGGAAGCAGCUUGCUUCUUUGCUGACGAGUGGCGGACGGGUGAGUAAUGUCUGGGAAACUGCCUGAUGGAGGGGGAUAACUACUGGAAACGGUAGCUAAUACCGCAUAACGUCGCAAGACCAAAGAGGGGGACCUUCGGGCCUCUUGCCAUCGGAUGUGCCCAGAUGGGAUUAGCUGUGGUGGGGUAACGGCUCACCUAGGCGACGAUCCCUAGCUGGUCUGAGAGGAUGACCAGCCACACUGGAACUGAGACACGGUCCAGACUCCUACGGGAGGCAGCAGUGGGGAAUAUUGCACAAUGGGCGCAAGCCUGAUGCAGCCAUGCCGCGUGUAUGAAGAAGGCCUUCGGGUUGUAAAGUACUUUCAGCGGGGAGGAAGGGAGUAAAGUUAAUACCUUUGCUCAUUGACGUUACCCGCAGAAGAAGCACCGGCUAACUCCGUGCCAGCAGCCGCGGUAAUACGGAGGGUGCAAGCGUUAAUCGGAAUUACUGGGCGUAAAGCGCACGCAGGCGGUUUGUUAAGUCAGAUGUGAAAUCCCCGGGCUCAACCUGGGAACUGCAUCUGAUACUGGCAAGCUUGAGUCUCGUAGAGGGGGGUAGAAUUCCAGGUGUAGCGGUGAAAUGCGUAGAGAUCUGGAGGAAUACCCGGUGGCGAAGGCGGCCCCCUGGACGAAGACUACG
rnacentral:rRNA from 1 species